rnacentral:rRNA from 1 species
AGAGUUUGAUCCUGGCUCAGGAUGAACGCUGGCGGCGUGCCUAAUACAUGCAAGUCGAGCGAACAGACGAGAAGCUUGCUUCUCUGAUGUUAGCGGCGGACGGGUGAGUAACACGUGGAUAACCUACCUAUAAGACUGGGAUAACUUCGGGAAACCGGAGCUAAUACCGGAUAAUAUUUUGAACCGCAUGGUUCAAAAGUGAAAGACGGUCUUGCUGUCACUUAUAGAUGGAUCCGCGCUGCAUUAGCUAGUUGGUAAGGUAACGGCUUACCAAGGCAACGAUGCAUAGCCGACCUGAGAGGGUGAUCGGCCACACUGGAACUGAGACACGGUCCAGACUCCUACGGGAGGCAGCAGUAGGGAAUCUUCCGCAAUGGGCGAAAGCCUGACGGAGCAACGCCGCGUGAGUGAUGAAGGUCUUCGGAUCGUAAAACUCUGUUAUUAGGGAAGAACAUAUGUGUAAGUAACUGUGCACAUCUUGACGGUACCUAAUCAGAAAGCCACGGCUAACUACGUGCCAGCAGCCGCGGUAAUACGUAGGUGGCAAGCGUUAUCCGGAAUUAUUGGGCGUAAAGCGCGCGUAGGCGGUUUUUUAAGUCUGAUGUGAAAGCCCACGGCUCAACCGUGGAGGGUCAUUGGAAACUGGAAAACUUGAGUGCAGAAGAGGAAAGUGGAAUUCCAUGUGUAGCGGUGAAAUGCGCAGAGAUAUGGAGGAACACCAGUGGCGAAGGCGACUUUCUGGUCUGUAACUGACGCUGAUGUGCGAAAGCGUGGGGAUCAAACAGGAUUAGAUACCCUGGUAGUCCACGCCGUAAACGAUGAGUGCUAAGUGUUAGGGGGUUUCCGCCCCUUAGUGCUGCAGCUAACGCAUUAAGCACUCCGCCUGGGGAGUACGACCGCAAGGUUGAAACUCAAAGGAAUUGACGGGGACCCGCACAAGCGGUGGAGCAUGUGGUUUAAUUCGAAGCAACGCGAAGAACCUUACCAAAUCUUGACAUCCUUUGACAACUCUAGAGAUAGAGCCUUCCCCUUCGGGGGACAAAGUGACAGGUGGUGCAUGGUUGUCGUCAGCUCGUGUCGUGAGAUGUUGGGUUAAGUCCCGCAACGAGCGCAACCCUUAAGCUUAGUUGCCAUCAUUAAGUUGGGCACUCUAAGUUGACUGCCGGUGACAAACCGGAGGAAGGUGGGGAUGACGUCAAAUCAUCAUGCCCCUUAUGAUUUGGGCUACACACGUGCUACAAUGGACAAUACAAAGGGCAGCGAAACCGCGAGGUCAAGCAAAUCCCAUAAAGUUGUUCUCAGUUCGGAUUGUAGUCUGCAACUCGACUACAUGAAGCUGGAAUCGCUAGUAAUCGUAGAUCAGCAUGCUACGGUGAAUACGUUCCCGGGUCUUGUACACACCGCCCGUCACACCACGAGAGUUUGUAACACCCGAAGCCGGUGGAGUAACCUUUUAGGAGCUAGCCGUCGAAGGUGGGACAAAUGAUUGGGGUGAAGUCGUAACAAGGUAGCCGUAUCGGAAGGUGCGGCUG